GGUUAUCUCACUGAGGAUUUUUUUUCCAUACUUCUAUUCAUUUGUCUGCAAAUUCCAUGAUGACAGUUUUUUACCAGCUGAGUAAUACUCUAUUGUGAAUUUGGAAAUUUGAGCUCUUACAACCCUCAGGAAACCUUCCUCAGGUGGACAGAAAUGUGCUUGCUCAGAAAUGUCCUGCUCCAGCUGCCUGCCUGCCAUUGUGAUCAGAGAGUAUCAUGGGAGAGAAGAUGCCAUUUGGAGGACAGAGGCAAGCUCAGAGAUGACUUCUUCUAUAUGUUCAAAGAUAAUCAUAAAGUAAGAAAGAGACAAAUACUUCCAACUGGGGUUUUUACUUGAGGAAAAAGAAAUACAAAAAUGCUUAGUAAUCACCA